CUACGGGUGGCAGCAGUGGGGAAUAUUGGGCAAUGGGCGAAAGCCUGACCCAGCAACGCCGCGUGAAGGAAGAAGGUUUUCGGAUCGUAAACUUCUAUCCCAGGUGAAGAUAAUGACGGUAGCCUGGAAGGAAGCCCCGGCUAACUACGUGCCAGCAGCCGCGGUAAUACGUAGGGGGCAAGCGUUGUCCGGAAUGAUUGGGCGUAAAGGGCGCGUAGGCGGCCUUCUAAGUCCGAUGUGAAAGUCCUGCUUUUAAGGUGGGAAUUGCAUUGGAAACUGGAGGGCUUGAGUGCAGGAGAGGUAAGUGGAAUUCCCGGUGUAGCGGUGAAAUGCGUAGAGAUCGGGAGGAACACCAGUGGCGAAGGCGACUUACUGGACUGUAACUGACGCUGAGGCGCGAAAGUGUGGGGAGCAAACAGGAUUAGAUACCCCCGUAGUC
rnacentral:rRNA from 1 species